UUUAACUUUCGGUAUAGACAAUGGCUACAAGUGAAAGAGCUACUGUUUGAAACAUCAAGUUGAAAAAAGCAUUUAUCUAUCAGAGGAACAUCAAGCAGACUCCAGUAAUGUGGCUUCCUAAUAGUUGAAGAAAAGAGAUCCACCCAAAGCUUGCCAACUAAAAGACUAUUAACUAUAAAGAUAUGCCAAGUGAAAUAAAAUGCAUUUUUAAUAUAUAAGCUACUGAAUAUUCACGUAGGAAUAAAUUCCCCAAUGAAGAGGAAAAACUUAAAAUGAAGCCUUGAGAAAAGAGGAAACCCAGGGGACCCUGGACCAGCUGGAGCAGGACUCUGGCACCUAUCACUGUGGGAUCAGAAAAUGGGCCAGUGUUUGUGGCUGAAGUGGUGUUCCUGGUGGCAAAGGGGUUAAAGAUAACCUGGAAGUUACACAUGGCUUAUUGACCCCAGAAUUCCAGGAAGAUAGAACAAAUAAACCAAACCCUGAGGCUGCAAUAAAGGUAGCCAAGGUGGGUCCCGGGAUUCACCACUGCGGAGGGAAGCCAGUAUCUCAAAACAGGAAGUGCAUUCCUGAUCCAUCAACACCACGCAUGCUGACCAUGCAGAAGAAGCAAUCUGUGACUCCAGAGGCUCUGGGAGACUGCAGCCCUGCUUUAGUCACUACGGAAGCUGACUAAUCUAUGCACAGCAGAAGUUGAGGAAUGAACAGUCCAGUGAAACAAACAGACUAUCCUUUAUUUUCUAUAUGUUUCCCCACUGUGAUGCAGUGCACCCCUUGUGUCUCACUGUUAUUGUGAUUCCUGCUUUACUUUUCACCAUAGGACUGGCACAAGCUGCCCUGGCCAGCUGGGAGUGCGGUGAGAGGUUUCU